rnacentral:rRNA from 1 species
CUAGCUGGUCUGAGAGGAUGACCAGCCACACUGGAACUGAGACACGGUCCAGACUCCUACGGGAGGCAGCAGUGGGGAAUAUUGCACAAUGGGGGCAAGCCUGAUGCAGCCAUGCCGCGUGUGUGAAGAAGGCCUUCGGGUUGUAAAGCACUUUCAGCGAGGAGGAAGGUGGUGAGCUUAAUACGCUCAUCAAUGACGUACC